CCGUGGGUACGGGCCUGAAUUCCAUCGCAGCUCUUUUACCAGAUGACUUGUUGAUAUUUUUUCGUUAAAUGACGAAGCUUUUGCAAGGCUUUAGUUUGCUGCGCCCUCCAUGCUCACAAACGCGCAGAACUCCAGCCCUGACUUGGAAGUAAUAUUUCAAAGCCGACAAUGAGGACUGGACGGGAUUUCAAGUCCGCGCGAUUAGUUCCAGUUCGAAGCGCAGCCGAGAAGUUCUCAUUCUUAUUAAUUAUUUAGCAGGACGCCAGCCAACCAAAUUACGUAAAUUUGAAUUUCCCUCCUCCAUCCUUUGAUUUUCAUUUCUAUGCGCUUUGUCUAACUGUCCAUCUAAAGUCAAGAACAUGUCACGUUCUUCGUUUGUCUUAAUUUCCCUGGAGGCUUCCAUUGGGAAUAAAAGCCAAGUUUAUGCUAUUUUCUAGAAAGUCCAUGUUUUAAAGCUGUCAAAAAGCAAUGGAUUCCAGCGAAGACGAAAUCGUGCGGCCGCUUGAAAGGUUCAGAAAAGCCAAAAGUAAAGAUGAGGAAGAAGUAGCUUUGGCGCAAGCUGUACCCGCGUCGACAAGAUACAAGAAUAAGUGGUGUGUCAACAUGUUUGAAAACUGUCGUACUAACCGAGUGAACAAAAUAGCCGCAAAGGAGUCCACAAUCUUCAAUAUAAGAAUAUCCGAUCUUGAAAACCUCGACAGCGCAUGGGAAUCUAUGUCGGCUCCUUGCCUCGAUUUCUGGAUCGGAAAAUUCUUCAAAGAAGUUGCAGAUAAACAGGGUAUUAAUUUAUUUUUCUUCAUUUUGUACCACUUUGUGUUGCUCGGGUAAAGUACUUGAAUCAGCGAUUUGGGUUAUGGUAGCGCUCUAAAACAGCACCGUUUUUACAUGACAUUUGGAAACACAGAACAUUAAAGCGAAGUUAAGUUGCAAUCCUAAUUGGAAAUUAAUUUAUUUUCAUUUUUCAGGUAAUCGUUACCCCGCUCGAAAUUUAUAUAUGAUCUUGGCUGGUCGUAAGCGCCACCUUUUGAGAGCACUUUUCACCGAACAGAUGUUAAUAUACUGGACAAGUCAAACGUGCCAUAAGUGUAUAUUUGUAUUUUACGUGAUAAUUUACCUUCAACCGUCCCAUGCUUACAUUUUAUUAUAAAGUGCUGGUUGUGACUAGUGAAUUAAGUCCGAGGACUGGAACAAAAUUAUUUCAGUUCAGGGACUGUUGUCCCUGAACUAAAUUAAUUUUGUUCCAGUCCUAGUACUUCACCCCCAGCUCUUCCCUGUUAAAUUCAAUACCCUCCCCGUCUUUAAGACACUGGAAUAACCAGAUUUUAAGUAUCAUCAUGUGACCAAAUUUAAGUAAUUUUGUUGGCUGGCGUCCUGCUGAAUAAUUUAAAUAAGGAUGAGAAAAGUCUGUCCAAUCUCUGAAAUCCAUGACCCCACUAGCGCACCACGUGAUACUCCAACAGCUUUCCAUGCAUGAGGAGGUCCGAUCAGACGCUAGCUCUGGGGUCAAGCAGGUCCGCCACAAUCAAAACGGCACAAAGAACUAUUCCCAGAGUCACAAGGGCAAGUUCAGUGUGUUGUCCAUCCAUGACCACUCGAAUAGCGACCGGGCGGUGGGACUUCGGGAAUUCGUGGCCGUGUUAAACGUGGAGGAGUUCUGUACGCGAUAUAACGACUACCGUCUGUAAUGCCGCACCGCACCAGCAAAAGGAUUACCACGUCGUGGAGGAUAUUUCCUUUUCCUGGUGUCCUACCCGAGGUGAGUAGGAGUCUAUAGUCGGGGAUAAGACCAGGGGCGGAUCUUGCUUCUGGUCCCAAAAUUUUCGUCAUUAUUUUACCUUCGUAAUGAUUUCGGAAUGAAAAGAUACAAUAAAAAACAAUAAAAAAAGACACCCCAAGGAGGAGGGGUUAAACCCCCUAACCCCCCCUUCCCCCCAUGUAGAUCCGCUACUGAAGACUAAUAGAGAAAAUCCGAAGAAAAUAGAAAAAAAGGAGGGCGGAUAUGAUAAAAGGCGCAACCUAACAAUCGUUAUUUCUUGCAUUUUUCAGGUCCUACUAGAGAAACUGACGGAUGAGCCCUGGCCCGCCCAGAAUAUCUUGCGCGCAACGCUAACCACCUGAUGCGGCAUCAGAGUAUGCGGUCAGAAGAUCCCGUAGAUCUAGAGUUCGAAUUUAGGGAUGACGUGAUGUAGGAUCCGUCCUUCUUCGUGGGAGACGUGGAAGGCCGGACGGAGACGACAUCUCAUCUUCGCGAGCAAAGAAUAGCUUGAUACGCUAGCCGAUGCCAAGACCUGGUACGUGGACGGCACAUUUAAGCUGGCGAGGGAGCCGUUUAAAGCAGCUACUCACCAUCAACGCCUUUGUAAGAAGGGGGAAUGCGUAAAGAAAGUUCCUUUGUGUUUGCGGUGAUGUCUGGAAGCAAAAAGAAGGACUGUAGAAAGGUGUUUAAAAGCAUCCUCCAUCUACUUCCGCACGUCUGUAUAGAGAAAGUCGUGACAGACUUCGAGCGCGCAAUCUGGCCGGCGGCAAGGUUAGAAUUCAGCCGCUACGAUGUGACGAUAAAGGGGGUGUGCCUUCCACUGGACGCGAGCUGUCUGGCUAAAGAUCCUUUAGAUGUCUUUAGAUUUUCAGGUCCGUCCGACCUUAUUGGUUAUUUUGCCGGGAAUUGGGUGUAUAGCACCUCCCCCCCCCCCCGAGGCCUGGAGCGUAUACGGCGAAGCCAUCAGAACGAACAACGAUGUAGAGGGAUGGCACGAAGCGCUCAACCGCCAGCACCUGCCCCUCUACCAGCUUGUUCAGCUCCUCUACCAGGAGUCGAAACUGGUUCACCUGCAGAUGCUCCUGGUGGCAGACCGCAAACUGCAGCGCAUCCGAAGAAAGCGCUACAGAAACACACAGGCCAUCAUCUUCAAAGGCUGGAAAGACUACGCGGCUGGUAGUGUGCAUGACCUUCUGCGUACCUGCGCUAGGGUCAAUCAGCCCGUCCGCGACCAGUGAAGUCAAGAUAAAGGCUGUACUGAGCAAAUACAAAAACGGCUCUUUUUAACUAGGUCAGAAACGAAAACUUUAUUUUGCUAAAACAUAAGUCUAGAGGUUAAGUAGCAAGCCUGAAUAAAAAAAGGCGCUUCAUUUUUGUUGGUUUUUGGAUUUUUUUUAAAGUUCCGCCGAAAGAAAAUGUCUCGCGGACUGGGGCCGAAUUUGGACCGUUGGAGGCCUGUGGCGACUUCACAACCAUGGUACGGCGCGAAAUUUUAGUGUUAAAUCGUAUUAUAAGGAGAUCCGAAAUCAAAGCACCAGAACUCAGUCGAAUAAUGGCGUCGUCGAUCGAAAGUACCAGGCCAGGAGGCUUAGAGCUCACAGACCCCAGUGACAAUAAAAGUUAAAGUUAAACAGAGUUAAACAGAAGAAAACAACAAGGAGUUUGAGAUUGUUUUUGAGGAAGGUGGAUGCGAGUUUCCGCCAUAUCACUAUCAGAGCGCAUAGCGAACCGAUCGUCGAAGGCUCAUCUGGUGAAAAGGAGACACAGCCAAAGCUUUUUAUAAUACUAUAAAACACUGUGAAAAUACACAAAUGUGAGUUCAGUCUUCUAUGGUGUACUCCAGCCGUAAGGAAGUUGAUUCUGAACUUGUAAAAGGCGAAAGCAUUAAAAAAAAAAAAAACCUUGACAUUACAGAACUACGAUUUACGAAUGGGAUUGGAAGUGUUGUUUUCAACGCUGAAUGGGAAACUGAAAGAGAUGACUCAACUUUAGAGGUACUUUUCGAUGAAGUAGCAUAGGUUGAUAAAUAUGGACUCGUAUGAAUCUAGCAUGGAGAAGUGGGAUUGAGGUAAAUAAAAAUGUUUUUUACUUAUCGCUAGGUAGUUUUCUAUCGUUUUUUUCGCCGUAGAGAUUGUCAAAACAAUUCGUACAUUCGAAUUUGCCUGUUCUGUUCCCUGUGUUUCCUAUUUUAUUUUGAAUCAAAUCAGAUUAAAGCUUGGCAUAAUAAAUAUAAUAGGCAAAUCCUG